GGCGGUACAGUCUGUUAGCGCUUGCUUUGCAAGCAGGGGGUUAGGGGUUCGAGUCCCCUUGCCUCCA
rnacentral:tRNA from 1 species